rnacentral:rRNA from 1 species
AUUGAACGCUGGCGGCAGGCCUAACACAUGCAAGUCGAACGAGUGGCGGACGGGUGAGUAAUAUCUGGGAAACUGCCUGAUGGAGGGGGAUAACUACUGGAAACGGUAGAUAAUAACACAUACCAUCAGAUGUGCCCAAAUGGUAUUAGCUUUGUGGUGGGGGAAAGGCUCACCAAGGCGACGAUCCCUAGCUGGUCUGAGAGGCUGACCAGCCCCACGGGAACGUAGACACGGUCCAGACUCCUACGGGAGGCGGCAGUGGGGAAUAUUGCACAAUGGGCUCAAGCCUGAUGCAGCCAUGCCGCGUGUAUGAAGAAGGCCUUCGGGGUGUAAAGUACUUUCAGCGGUGAGGCGUUACCCGCAGAAGAAGCACCGGCUAACUCCGUGCCAGCAGCCGCGGUAAUUC